GUCCCCUACAGAACAUAGAUGCAUUAUCGAGUCAGUUGAAAGCGUUCAAAUUAAAUUAUAAGCUUUCAAAUAUUUAUCUAAUCUCUAUUAAAGCACUCCCAAGUUAUAAUGAAAGAGGAAAAACCACUCAAAGAUACGAUAAUAUAUAAUCAAAGAUAAGCUAAACAAAGUAUUUUUUUCAGAGUGAUUUAAAUUAUAAGCGUCUAAAGCAACAGAAAAAAUCUCUCUAAUCAAUGUAAGAUACGCUAUUAUAAUUCAAACGAAUCAACCAAUUGUCCGAUAGUGAUUAAAAUUAUAAGCGCCAACAAAAACAAACUUUACAGUUAUGGUAUUACACGAAGCCAUGUCCUAUACUAAUCUGAUCUCUGCAAACAACUCUCAACUGAAUAAUGAAAGAGGAAAACCAAUCAAAGAUAAACUAAAUCAAGUGUUUUUUCAGAGUGAUUAAAAUUAUAAACGUUUAAACCAACAAAAACAAAUCUCUCUUGUGAAUCGAAGAUACGCUAAUAAAAUUCAAACGAAUCAUUCAAAUUUUUUUCCCAAAAAGAAGAUCAAGUUUUUAUUUAAUCAAUCAAGUUGUUUACGAAUCAAUCAAGUUUUUAUUUCAAUCCCAGACUAUGCAAUUUAUUGCAGAUUACAGAAAAUCCAGGUUUCAAGUCCCGGAGAGAGCGGUUUAUUAAACAAUUAUGCAAACUAGAAGAGAAAAGCUUGCAAGGGAUCUUCAACAUGGUGCAAGUAAAAUCUGGCCAGACGUGGAUCUUCAUAGGACGGCUCAUGUGAUGCAGUUAGACGUAGGUCUUCAUAAGGCAGGUAGUAUUGUCGGUUGUCGAAUCGUCUUGGUAAUCUUUCCUAUAUCAUCUAUACUAUACUAAAAGCAACAUAUAAAGAGCAGAGAAGCUGUCCACGUCAGAUUUUUAAUUCUGACCAAUCAGAGACAGAUUUUGUGACACGUCAAAUCGAUCUUAAUCGGAUUUUUUUAUUCUUGAUCCGUGAAUGAGAUUUGGCCCAUAAGCCCAAUCGUUUAGAAAAGAAGAGUAGGCAAGAGACAAACAAUGACACAUGUCUCUUUAUAAAUCUCAACGUUUCGUUUACAAAAAUGAAACCAUCAAAUUGGGUCAGAGAAACAUAUAAACCAACCUCUGUUAUUUUCUUUCCAGCCCAAUUUUGACCCACCCGACUCUUCUAACCUUUUGUCUUCUCUGUUGCCCUAUUUUACACAGCAGAUGUGUAAACGUCUGUAUAAUUACUGUAAUCCUCAUUGAAAUAUGUCAUUAAGCUUCUCCCACUACGUAGAGUUUAAUUAUCCUUUCUCACCACCGCUUCGAAAACCCCUAAUGUUCGAUACUAUAAAUAAGUGAUAAAGACUUCUCCAAAUAGCCCUACUUCAUCCUCUUCAUUAUACUUCGUCCUUACAAACAGAGAUUGCAAUAAAGGUGUCCUCUCCAGUCAUGGUUUCGGAUCUGAAGUCAGGUCGUGCUUUUCAAUCGGCAACCAAACCAAUCUCAAAGAGGGAGGAGAGCUCAUGGGGUUGACAUGCUCCUACUUGAUGAAAAGGUAUAUCACUGUCCGGGUUUAACACGUUUAAAAAGUAUAUGUGGCUUCAGACCGGGUUUGAUACUUUUGGUUUACCUAAACGGCAGAGUAUCUCUUGAUCGAUAUAGAUUCAUUAGACCAGAAUCUGGCUUAGAACUUAGCCAGCGACGUGAUCGAAACCUGUACGGAAGUGGCAUCCCCAAAUCGACGCCGUUUCAGCCGUACAGUGAGUUGUUCGGAAUUCAGAGAUUCAAGAAUGCGAGCUGAUGGGCGAUGUUCGCCACUUGCAGCGCUCUUUCUUCGAAUGGCUCACGGGCGUUACUUGGCAAGAAGCCGGAAAGGUACGACUUUUCUUCCUCUCGCUGCCGGAAAAAUCCUUUAAUUUUGCUUUGUGUUUAGUGUUUGAGAUUCUUAAUGAAAUACCAAAAUUUUCAGAUGGAUCGUCGUACUUAGCGCAGCCACUACCGUUCUCCAUCUCGACGUUGAUACGGAUCAAGGUGUUAGUGACUGGCUACAUCGAGUUCCAACACAAUGCCGAGCUUUACUCAGAAGCGUUUGUACCCAUCAAUGUAGUUUAGAAGCAUAUCAAACGUAACUGAGUGUUUGUUGCUUAAAGAAAGAAAAAAAUAACGUAAUUGAGCUUUCACCUUCAGCUUCCUCUCCAUUCUUUUAUUAUUAUUAUUAUGUUACCGGUGAAAUCUAUUGAGAAAAUAUAUACCUCCUAAUGAUAAAAUAUACUUAUCUGAUUUGGCUGAAAGCAUUUACCGUACCUCCACUCCGAAUUGUUCUUUAGAGCACCCAAAAACAUUUCCCAUGAAUGCAUAUGACCACAUAAACCAACAAUCAAGUAAGCUUUUUCCUGGUGAAAAACUAAGAUUAUUUGGUCAUUGGCUGUAAAAACGUGAUUCAAAAGUCAUUGUGAUAUUAUCAUGUUGGAUCCUCUGUUUUCUUGGCUCUGCACAAUACAGGUGAGUACUUAAAGAAAAAAAAGAAGAGAAUGGCAGUGGAGUGAUAGAGAGAAGAGAGGCAGGUGUGUGCUGCUUUAAGAACACUGAUUUGACAUACCCGAUGUGUACGAUCCAAACCUCCAAGUGUUUGCUUACCUUCAAAUGUCCAUUUGAAAGAGUUUAUUACAAUAUAACAGUUUUCAUCUUCUAGCUCUUUAAAUUUGUAAUAACAUUUUGGCAAUGUGAUGACUAGGAAAAAUAAAAUACGAGGUCAAUGUUUUUUUGUUGUAUAUGUUACAUGCAUCCUACGUUACCAAAAGAGCAGUAGUUAUGUGUAUGUUGAUAACACAAUAUUUAAUUAUAAUAUAUAAAAUAUAAUAUAAAUUGAGUUUGUAAAUAUAUUUCUCGCAUUCAAUAUCUAUAUUAUAAUACUCAUUUUCAACAGUAAAAUAUGCAGCACUUUCAAUAAUUUUUUCAAAAAAAAAACUUUUAAUAAUUAAAAAAAUCUUAUUGUUGAAAAUAUCCCUUUGGCAUUCAUUAUUUAUACUGUAAUACUCUUUUUAAACUUUCAAUAUAUUACACUUUUUAAAUAAGAAAAUUUCUUAUCUGUUACAUUGCAUUUUUUCAAGAAAAAUAUAUUCUAUUUUUCGAAGAAAACAAUUAAAAAAAUAUAUCAUACGAGAUGAAAAUUAAGCGUUGAAAGCGAAGAAUUAAUAGACACAAAGAAAAAACUAUAAUUAACAUAAUAGAAAAUAACCAGAAGAAAAUUACCAAUAUAUCUCAACUACAAAGACACAAAAACAUUGGCCAACAUGGUUCCUUCCUCCCUAACUAGCUUAUCUAGGGCCGAGACUUUAAACCAAACCAAACUAAAAUUUUUAUUUUUUGCUUAGUUUGAUUCGAAAGUUCAUAAAAUUUAAAACAUUAGUUCUCGAUUCGGUUCGGUUUGGUAACUGAUCAGUCUGGGGCUUUAACAUAAAAUAUUUUCAAACAGUAUGAAUUUUAACCAAAAUUUCAAAGUCAACUAACCAAAAUAUGAAUAGAAAUAACCAUUUUUCAGAUGUCUUGGUUAUUGAUGUGUUUAAGAGUUUAUCGGUGAGCUUUGGCUAUAGCCUAUAGAUUCUGAAUCUUCUUUUACAUUCUGGCUGGAUAUGCGGUGCAUGUUCCAGGAGAGUUUAGACUUUAUGUGUGUUCUGAAUGGGUGUUUAGACCUUAUGCAAGCUGAAAAUGUUGAAAAACUUAUUUCGGCCAAGUCUUCUUCUUCUGCAGGUGCUGCUUUGGAAGGGAUUCACGCAUCCCUUUGUCCACCUUUUAAAGGAUAACUUAAACUUACUCAAGAUCCAUAUGUAUUUCCAUGUCGGUAUCAAUAAAUUCUUGCAUGCCAGCCUGAGCCAAUGAUGCCCACUUUGAAACUUCCUCAAGAAGAAUCAGCCAAGAAUUUUAAAACUCUAUGGCUACGUAAAAGUUCAAUUGGAAGGUAUCCAUUCUUUUUGAAGAUUGUAUCUACAUUUUAUUCUAUUUUACAAACAAUAAUUGUCGAUCUUUUUUUUUUGUAAAUAUUCCGAUAUAUGACAUACAAAACAAUCUUCCUUGAUUAUAUUUUCUGAUGUUAUGUUCGAAAUGGCCACUGUCCAGAUAUAUUUAAAAAGGUGACUAUACAAAAUGGUUACUUCUAUGUUACCAGAUUUCUUCUAUGUCAAUCUAGGAAGAACUUGAGAAAAUUGACAUGCACAUGUAACGCGAAAUUAGUUCUUCCUAGAUUGACAUAUGGACACUGACUUAUCGAAAGAGCCUGAAGGAUAAUCAAUCCAUAUGUAAUCCCUUUUUAGUUUAUGUGCACCUAAUUUUUU